UACGUAGGUGGCAAGCGUUGUCCGGAAUUACUGGGUGUAAAGGGAGCGCAGGCGGGAAGCCAAGUCAGCUGUGAAAACUACGGGCUUAACUUGUAGACUGCAGUUGAAACUGGUUUUCUUGAGUGAAGUAGAGGUUGGCGGAAUUCCGAGUGUAGCGGUGAAAUGCGUAGAUAUUCGGAGGAACACCGGUGGCGAAGGCGGCCAACUGGGCUUUAACGGACGCUGAGGCUCGAAAGUGUGGGGAGCAAACAGG
rnacentral:rRNA from 1 species